CGCAGGAGGACCAGGGCCGAGCAAGAGAAGAUGGGGUGUCCAUUGCCCAGCUGUGUCCAGCCGCCAACAUUGGCCAAAGCGGUACAGGGUUAGACUGCUGUGGUUCCGCAGAAGGAGCAGACCGUAACCUGCCGACCGGAGUUCAACGAUGGACUGCGGCCAAUCCAAGACGCGAGGGUGGAAGCUUAGGCUGUGCCGGAUGUAGAGGUGAAGAGGAAAGCAUCAGACAGAAGAAGAGUCCACUGCGGGCAACCCCCUGAAGUGAGGAGGAGGAGAUGAAGGCUGAGCAGCAUCCCACAGUGAGAGAGAGUGUCUUCAGUGCAACUGCAGCUGUCACCGG